ACAAUGUCCUGAAUCUUUAUAAUUGUGUAGAAUUGCUGUGUAGAGGAAGGAAUUUUAGCAGGUGCCCCUUGAGCUUGUCAUGCAAGCAUGAAAGAAGCACUUGUUGAAAUUCCCCUUGAUCCUGUACAACAUAAAAGUAUCAAAGGGCUCUUCUCUUUUGCUUCUAGUCACCUUAUGGACGCUAGGAAAGCUCUCAUGUGUUAGAGGAAUUCUCUGUUUUUCAUUUCAUACUUUUUCAAGGUUAAUGAUAACGCGCUUACCUUCUCUCCUCAUCCCUUCACUUUCUUGCCAGAAUUUUCUGCAGACUGUAGCUUUUACUCUCUGCUGCAUUGUUGUCGACUCUCCACUGGGUGUCUCAUUUCUCCACGUUUGAGGGAAAUUUUUUCUCUCACAAGUACCUUGUAUUCCCUCGAGAGGAGCUAACCGAGGUUUAAGUAAACUUGAACUUUGAAGAAUGCAGGUCAGGGCUAUCCUACAUACAGAGCUUUCCCUCCACUUCUAUAACACAGAAGGAAUAAGAAAAAGGCACUGAGUGGUCGAUGGAUCUUUCUCGCAGCAGAGAUCUGGGACCAACUUCUCCAUUGACAAGACUGAAGGAAUUACAAAGCGGUGGUGUUUGUCUUGAGGAUGUUCUACUAAUGAAGGAACAGCAUUUUGUAACCGGGCAUGUGCCAGAUGAAGACAAAGCAUGUGGAGCACAGGCCAAGAACCAUCUUAAACGGAGAAGGAUAUCCAGGGCAGAGGACAUCAUUUCCAGCCAAGGUUUAGGCCUCCCUACCCCUGUCAUGUCAAAAUGAGGCACCACAGAGUGAAGAUGUAGCAUAGAUUCAGCCCUGGAAACAGUGAGGAACUGGAAACCUGUCUUGGGAUCACUGGUGUUUCUAGACCGCUAUGAAAAAAAGUCUGAAUAAGUCUUCGAUGCUGAAUAUGGUCAUGAAUGUUUAUCUAUAAUUGUACAAUUAUCUAUAAUUGUAUUUUUCCAGGCAAUAACCUGAAAAAAGAGUAUAUAUAAGUAUAAAGACCAGUGUGCCCUGAGAGGAAGGCAAGAAAGGAGGUGCCCAGGCCAGGGGAGAGCAUAACAUUGACCCCCACAGAGACCAGCUCUGGCCUGUGAGGAUUGUUGGGGCAGCCCCACCACCCAGGAGUACGGAAAAGCCAGUGUGCCCAGAGAGAAAGGCAAGCAAGGAGGCACCCAGGCCAGGGAGCUCUUGUCCUCAGCUCCCGAAAAGACCAACAGCCCAAGACAACGUUUGAUUAACAUACUGUAAUUUGCUUCUUUUAAUAUUGUAAACCACUUUGGGUGCAUUUGUCAAGGCAGAAAGGUGGUAUAAAAAUGUAGUAAAUGAAUAUAUGUUGAAAGUCUCUUCUUAGCUAGGUAGGUGCAUGAUUUCUAUAGUGUCAAGCAGUUGUAAGAAGUUGCUAGAGGAACCACAAGCUCCGUUUCCAGUUUCCAAACAAAGACUUAUUUAUUUAUCUUAUUCCAUCUUAUUUAUUUAUUAAUUCUCUGUGUAACUGCCCUGAGCCAUUUUUGGAAGGGCGGUAUAGAAAUCGAAUAAAUAAAUAAAUAUUUAGGGAUGUGCAAAUUGAUUUGGGUACAAAUCAAUUUGUACCCGAAUCUAGAUGAUUCACGUGAUUUGGAGAUGGAAAAAAAAUCACCCCUGUGGUCCAUUGGCUAGAUUUGGGUACAAAUCAAGUUGCUCCUGAUUUGAUUCAAAUCGAUUUGAGAUUCAGAUCCCUCUUAUUAAUUCCCCCAGAUUCCCAGUUUUCAUUUUUUUAAAAAGGCUCUGGAUUCACCUCAGGGGUAUUAUCGUAUCUAAGUUAUGACAUACAGUUGUUGAUUCAAGUCUGAUCAGCCUCAAGAUCCUUGGAUUGUGUAAAUAAGCUUUAGGGAGAUCAAAUGUUCUUGAAACUACAGCUGUAAGAUCAGUUUGAGACAGUAGUUAGUUGGCAGUGUAAUCAUGAGAUGUAUCAUGCAUGGACAUUCUGCAGCUUUAUAUGUAUUAUCCCUGCUUCUUCUACAUUUCUUAAUUUCAUCUUAAAUAAACUUGACUGUAGGCAUUCAGGGGAGCAGUGAACCAAAUAUAUUCCAUUAAAGGUACAACGUCAAGUCAUUUUAGCUUUCAGUCCAAUAAAGCUUAUUUCAAUGCCC